rnacentral:tRNA from 1 species
GGAGUUGUGGCUCAGUGGUAGAGUGCUUGCCUCGCAUUUAGGGGUCACUGGGUUCGAUCCUCAGCACCA